GACGAACGCUGGCGGCGCGCUUAAUACAUGCAAGUCGAACGAGAAGCCAGAGCUUGCUCUGGUGGAAAGUGGCGAACGGGUGAGUAACACGUGAGAAACCUGCCCCAAAGAUUGGGAUAAGCCUUGGAAACGAGGUCUAAUACCAAAUACCUUCUUUUUAACACAUGUUAAAAAGAAGAAAUGCUCCGGCGCUUUGGGAUGGUCUCGCGAUCUAUCAGCUUGUUGGUGAGGUAACGGCUCACCAAGGCAUCGACGGAUAGCUGGUCUGAGAGGAUGUCCAGCCACAUUGGAACUGAGACACGGUCCAAAACUCCUACGGGAGGCAGCAGUAGGGAAUCUUGCACAAUGAGGGAAACCUUGAUGCAGCGACGCCGCGUGCGGGACGAAGGCCCUAGGGUUGUAAACCGGCUUUCAGUAGGGACGAAAGUGACGGUACCUACAGAAGAAGCCCCGGCCAACUAUGUGCCAGCAGCCGCGGUAAU
rnacentral:rRNA from 1 species